rnacentral:rRNA from 1 species
CUUACCGGGUCCGGACACACUGAGGAUUGACAGGCAAUAUUAAUUUUUAUUCGUAAAAAUUAUGUUAAAUAUGCUAGUCCUUUCAUGAUUAUGUGAUAGGUGGUGCAUGGCCGUUCUUAGUUCGUGGAGUGAUCUGUCUGCUUAAUUGCGUUUCACUAAGGGCCUAUAAAUUUACGUGUGUUGCGGCACUUUGACCCCUCUUUUUAAGAGCGCGCGUCUUAGUUUGCUUUGCUCGCACAAUUAGGUCCUGAAAGCAACGAACGUGACCGCAACCUCUUGUUGCCUUUAUACCAAACGCGUU